rnacentral:rRNA from 1 species
GAUGAACGCUAGCUACAGGCUUAACACAUGCAAGUCGAGGGGCAUCAGGAAGAAAGCUUGCUUUCUUUGCUGGCGACCGGCGCACGGGUGAGUAACACGUAUCCAACCUGCCCUUUACUCCGGGAUAGCCUUUCGAAAGAAAGAUUAAUACCCGAUAGCAUAAUGAUUCCGCAUGGUUUCAUUAUUAAAGGAUUCCGGUAAAGGAUGGGGAUGCGUUCCAUUAGGUUGUUGGUGAGGUAACGGCCCACCAAGCCUUCGAUGGAUAGGGGUUCUGAGAGGAAGGUCCCCCACAUUGGAACUGAGACACGGUCCAAACUCCUACGGGAGGCAGCAGUGAGGAAUAUUGGUCAAUGGGCGCUAGCCUGAACCAGCCAAGUAGCGUGAAGGAUGAAGGCUCUAUGGGUCGUAAACUUCUUUUAUAUAAGAAUAAAGUGCAGUAUGUAUACUGUUUUGUAUGUAUUAUAUGAAUAAGGAUCGGCUAACUCCGUGCCAGCAGCCGCGGUAAUACGGAGGAUCCGAGCGUUAUCCGGAUUUAUUGGGUUUAAAGGGAGCGUAGGUGGACUGGUAAGUCAGUUGUGAAAGUUUGCGGCUCAACCGUAAAAUUGCAGUUGAUACUGUCAGUCUUGAGUACAGUAGAGGUGGGCGGAAUUCGUGGUGUAGCGGUGAAAUGCUUAGAUAUCACGAAGAACUCCGAUUGCGAAGGCAGCUCACUGGACUGCAACUGACACUGAUGCUCGAAAGUGUGGGUAUCAAACAGGAUUAGAUACCCUGGUAGUCCACACAGUAAACGAUGAAUACUCGCUGUUUGCGAUAUACAGUAAGCGGCCAAGCGAAAGCAUUAAGUAUUCCACCUGGGGAGUACGCCGGCAACGGUGAAACUCAAAGGAAUUGACGGGGGCCCGCACAAGCGGAGGAACAUGUGGUUUAAUUCGAUGAUACGCGAGGAACCUUACCCGGGCUUAAAUUGCAGUGGAAUGAUGUGGAAACAUGUCAGUGAGCAAUCACCGCUGUGAAGGUGCUGCAUGGUUGUCGUCAGCUCGUGUCGUGAGGUGUCGGCGUAAGUGCCAUAACGAGCGCAACCCUUAUCUUUAGUUACUAACAGGUUACGCUGAGGACUCUAGAGAGACUGCCGUCGUAAGAUGUGAGGAAGGUGGGGAUGACGUCAAAUCAGCACGGCCCUUACGUCCGGGGCUACACACGUGUUACAAUGGGGGGUACAGAAGGCAGCUAGCGGGUGACCGUAUGCUAAUCCCAAAAUCCUCUCUCAGUUCGGAUCGAAGUCUGCAACCCGACUUCGUGAAGCUGGAUUCGCUAGUAAUCGCGCAUCAGCCACGGCGCGGUGAAUACGUUCCCGGGCCUUGUACACACCGCCCGUCAAGCCAUGGGAGCCGGGGGUACAUGAAGUACGUAACCGCAAGGAUCGUCCUAGGGUA